rnacentral:rRNA from 1 species
GAUGAACGCUGGCGGCGUGCCUAAUACAUGCAAGUCGAGCGAACAGACGAGGAGCUUGCUCCUCUGACGUUAGCGGCGGACGGGUGAGUAACACGUGGAUAACCUACCUAUAAGACUGGGAUAACUUCGGGAAACCGGAGCUAAUACCGGAUAAUAUAUUGCACCGCAUGGUUCAAUAGUGAAAGACGGUUUUGCUGUCACUUAUAGAUGGAUCCGCGCCGCAUUAGCUAGUUGGUAGGGUAACGGCUUACCAAGGCGACGAUGCGUAGCCGACCUGAGAGGGUGAUCGGCCACACGGGAACUGAGACACGGUCCAGAGUCCUACGGGAGGCAGCAGUAGGGAACCUUCCGCAAUGGGCGAAAGCCUGACGGAGCAACGCCGCGUGAGUGAUGAAGGUCUUCGGAUCGUAAAACCCUGUUAUUAGGGAAGAACAAAUGUGUAAGUAACUAUGCACGUCUUGACGGUACCUAAUCAGAAAGCCACGGCUAACUACGUG